UGAGGGUAGCGGAGAAAUUUCAAUCGAACCUGGAGAUAGCUGGUUCUCUCCGAAAUAGCUUUAGGGCUAGCCUCAAGUGAUGAUUAUUGGAGGUAGAGCACUGUUUGGACGAGGGGCCCCUCUCGGGUUACCGAAUUCAGACAAACUCCGAAUGCCAAUUAAUUUAACUUGGGAGUCAGAACAUGGGUGAUAAGGUCCGUGUUCGAAAGGGAAACAGCCCAGACCACCAGCUAAGGUCCCAAAAUAUAUGUUAAGUGGAAAAGGAUGUGGCGUUGCCCAGACAACUAGGAUGUUGGCUUAGAAGCAGCCAUCAUUUAAAGAGUGCGUAAUAGCUCACUAGUCGAGUGACACUGCGCCGAAAAUGUACCGGGGCUAAACAUAUUACCGAAGCUGUGGAUUGUCCUUUGGACAAUGGUAGGAGAGCGUUCUAAGGGCGUUGAAGCAUGAUCGUAAGGACAUGUGGAGCGCUUAGAAGUGAGAAUGCCGGUGUGAGUAGCGAAAGACGGGUGAGAAUCCCGUCCACCGAUUGACUAAGGUUUCCAGAGGAAGGCUCGUCCGCUCUGGGUUAGUCGGGUCCUAAGCUGAGGCCGACAGGCGUAGGCGAUGGAUAACAGGUUGAUAUUCCUGUACCACCUAUAAUCGUUUUAAUCGAUGGGGGGACGCAGUAGGAUAGGCGAAGCGUGCGAUUGGAUUGCACGUCUAAGCAGUAAGGCUGAGUAUUAGGCAAAU
rnacentral:rRNA from 1 species